UACGUAUGGAGCAAGCGUUAUCCGGGUUUACUGGGUGUAAAGGGAGCGCAGGCGGCUUUGCAAGUCUGAUGUGAAAGGCCGGGGCUCAACCCCGGGACUGCAUUGGAAACUGUAAAGCUAGAGUGCCGGAGAGGUAAGCGGAAUUCCUAGUGUAGCGGUGAAAUGCGUAGAUAUUAGGAGGAACACCAGUGGCGAAGGCGGCUUACUGGACGGCAACUGACGCUGAGGCUCGAAAGCGUGGGGAGCAAACAGG
rnacentral:rRNA from 1 species